GACGAAGGAUGCAAGCGUUAUCCGGAUUCAUUGGGUUUAAAGGGAGCGUAGGCGGCCUUGUAAGUCAGUGGUGAAAUCUUCCCGCUUAACGGGAAAACUGCCAUUGAUACUGCUUGGCUUGAGUACAGAUGCUGUGGGCGGAAUACGACAUGUAGUGGUGAAAUACAUAGAGAUGUCAUAGAACACCGAUUGCGAAGGCAGCUCACAAAACUGUAACUGACGCUGAGGCUCGAAAGUGUGGGGAUCAAACAGG
rnacentral:rRNA from 1 species